rnacentral:tRNA from 1 species
GGACGAGUUCCUCGAUAGCCUCAGCGAGGGAGAGCUUCUGGCUCUCCCUUUCCUGUUCGAGUUCUGGGCCCAUCCGC